rnacentral:lncRNA from 1 species
CUCUGCCUACCUGCUCCAGGUCUCCCCCUGGGGCCAUCCCACCUCUUCCUCAUUAAAGCCUGUGCUGAAAGGAGCGGGGUUGUUUUUCAAAUUCUUUCAGCAGUGAGUUAUUGAUCAACACUGAUAGUGCGAGCAGCUUGAUCUCACCCUGAACUGGCAGAGAUUAAUUAGCUUGAUUCCCAAGCAUAAUUCCUAAUUAGGCACAGGAAGAAAGGAAAGAAAACACAAAGGAACUAUUCUUCUCCAGGAACCACCGACCUUCUGUCCAGGGGUGGAGGAGGAAGAAACAGGAGGAGAGGCUAUGGGAGCCUCAGGUACCGAGCAUCUGGUGUCUGGAGAGAUGCAGCUA